GAGGGUAUAGCUCAGUGGUAGAGUGUGCGCUUAGUGUGCUCGAUUUCCUGGGUUCAAUCCCCAGUACCUCUG
rfam:Camelus ferus unplaced genomic scaffold scaffold1783, whole genome shotgun sequence.